GGGCAGAGGAGAGCAGGGCAGGGCAGAGGGGAGCAGGGCAGAGGUGCAGAGGAAGCAGAGCUCCUUCCCUGGGCUCCCCCAGUGCCUGCCUCAGCCCUGCAGCAGCUCUCCCCAGCCAGCUCCAUGUCCUUGUCCAGAGGCAGCCUCUCAGGCUUCAGCUUGGGUGAAUCCUUCACUGGGCAGAGCCAGUCCCUGGAGGAGGCCUCAGGAGCUCUGCAGCAGCUCAGCAGUUGCAGCAUCACAGCCCUGGAGCUGAGCUGAAGCUUCCCUGGCUCUGCAGCCACCACCAAGCCUCAAGCUGCUGCCUCCAGCCCACUGCCAGUGCCCUCCUGGCACAGAGCUGACACCCACCCACCUCCACUGGCAUCAGAUGGGCACUUCCUGGGCUGUUGAAAGGGGGCAGGGGGCAGGGGGGGGGACAAUCCCAACACUCCCUGAAGGGGCAACCAAGGACAUUUCCUACAUGAAUGUAAGACAAAUGCUGUGAAGAGUUCAGGAGCCAGCAGCAGGCUCUGGAACUUGCUUGGAUCCAGUUCUGGAGGAGCAGGACACUGGGGGAGGUGCCAGAGAAUCCCAGGAGGGGUUGGAGCUGGAAGGGACCUUCAAGCUCAGCCAGCUCCAUCCUCUGCCACGGGCAGGGACAUCUCCUCCAGCCCAAGGCUGCUCAGGGCCUCAACCAGCCAGGCCUGGAACACCUCCAGGGAGGGCUCCCUGGGCAGCCUGUGCCAGGCUCUCCUCACCCUCACUGCCCACAGGUUUUGGGGCUGAGGACAGGAGCUGCUCCUGGAGCUGCAUCCAGUGCUGCUCUGCAGCCACUUCUUUGCUUUGCCACACUCUGCUCACUCUGCUUUUGGUGCUGCAGGGCCCUGGGCCAGGCCAGAGCUGGCUGCAGGUGCCCUGGGCCGUGCCAGUGCUGGCUGCAGGUGCCCUGGCAGUGCCCUGGGCCAGGCCAGUGCUGGCUGCAGGUGCCCUGUGCCAGGCCAGUGCUGGCUGCAGGUGCCCUGGCAGUGCCCUGGGCCACGCCAGUGUUGGCUGCAGGUGCCCUGGCAGUGCCCUGAAGCUCUUUUGUGUCUUGUACAGAAACCUUUCCAAUAAAAUCCUCUUCUCUGUGGCAGAA